rnacentral:sRNA from 1 species
CAUUUUGUAUCGCUGAGUCUCCAAAUUGGAGAGCGGGGGAACCGAUAUGGACCUCAUGAAGGUUCAUAAUUGAUUUCUUAAUGGGGUGAAUAGGAUGCUUCUCGCCAUGAGCGAGAGUGAAUCCUUAGGGCGACUCUCACGUCCGAAUCCGACAGCUAACCUCGUAAGCGUGCAGGGAGAGGUACC